UACGAAGGGGGCUAGCGUUGCUCGGAAUCACUGGGCGUAAAGAGCUCGUAGGCGGCUUUGUCAGUCGGGUGUGAAACCUCCAGGCUCAACCUGGAGCCGCCACCCGAUACUGCAAUAGCUAGAGUCCGGUAGGGGAGCAUGGAACUCCUGGUGUAGCGGUGAAAUGCGCAGAUAUCAGGAAGAACACCAGUGGCGAAGGCGGUGCUCUGGGCCGGAACUGACGCUGAGGAGCGAAAGCGUGGGAGCAAACAGG
rnacentral:rRNA from 1 species